CCUACGGGGGGCAGCAGUGGGGAAUAUUGGACAAUGGGGGCAACCCUGAUCCAGCCAUGCCGCGUGUGUGAAGAAUGCCCUCGGGUUGUAAAGCACUUUCAGUGAGGAAGAACGCCUGGUGGUUAAUACCCAUCAGGAAAGACAUCACUCACAGAAGAAGCACCGGCUAACUCCGUGCCAGCAGCCGCGGUAAUACGGAGGGUGCGAGCGUUAAUCGGAAUUACUGGGCGUAAAGCGCGCGUAGGUGGCUUGAUAAGCCGGUUGUGAAAGCCCCGGGCUCAACCUGGGAACGGCAUCCGGAACUGUCAAGCUAGAGUGCAGGAGAGGAAGGUAGAAUUCCCGGUGUAGCGGUGAAAUGCGUAGAGAUCGGGAGGAAUACCAGUGGCGAAGGCGGCCUUCUGGACUGACACUGACACUGAGGUGCGAAAGCGUGGGUAGCAAACAGGAUUAGAUACCCGGGUAGUC
rnacentral:rRNA from 1 species